rfam:Daphnia pulex DAPPTscaffold_117_Cont4911, whole genome shotgun sequence.
GGUGUUGUAACUCAGUGGUAGACUGUUCGAUUUGCAUGCCAAAAGCCCGGAGUUCAAUCCUCCGCAACUCCA